CUGCACAUUAACGCACAGAGCACUAGUGUGUGACACAUCAACUAGUGAACCAUGGCGGAAGGCAACCUGGCGUGUGUUUAUUGAUGAUGCUGACGUACCCCUCCAUCCUCCCCCGCCACCACCAGGUUGGCUCAUGUCCAUCCAUUGGGGUAGGCUCCACCCCUGCCUUCGUCUUCAGAUGGAGAACUUCAUGGUUCACUCCUCCCCGCGAAUCUUGGGAGAAACAGGAUGCACAGGCUCGUCCAGCAACCCGGACACAAUCGGUCGAAUCCACUGAUGAGGCAGCUCCAAUGAGCACCUUGCCACAUGGUAGCCAGAAAAAAGUCUCAAACACUCAAACACCGGUGAAUAGAAAUCCAGACCUGACUUUACCCUGAAGGCAACACUUGCUUGCUUCCCUUGUCUCCUGCUGCGCCUCUUCCGAGGAACGUCGACAGGCCUUUAACACACUCCACUCCAUACGGCAUCAGUCGAAAAAGAGACUAAGUUUGCAAUUUUAAGCAGGGUUUGACAGCCAUAGAUUAAUGAGGUAGACCUAGUAUAUUAAAAAUAACAUUAAAAUAGUCGACAACAACACACAGGACAGACAUCUAGACUCAAACACCAGUGCCAUCUUGCUCAUAUCCGUUACACCGCAUGACAGUUUUUAGAAUCAUUAAAUAUAAACAUACCUUGAAAUCGGUAAGAGAAACCAACAUUAAAACAUUUCUAAGAACUCGAUCUUUCUAAGAACUAGAUUUUCCCUUGUUGUUAUUGUGGUCACUCUUAUAUGGCAUUGAGCAUCUCGAGUCCCAGUAGCCGACAGCUUAUUGUAUUAAUACUGAUUCAGUCAUUAAAAAAAACUCCCCUCCCCCCACCCCAGGAAACCAGUUUCUUAUUUAACUACUGUUUGCUGACUGAAAGCCUGGUAUUUCUUUGCCAUCUGUCCUGAGAUGCAUUGUUUUUUUGUUUGUUUUUUGGCUCUAAACAUCUUAUUGAAAUGCAUGAGUUAGAUUUUGAUGGUUUGGCAGACCAAUGAGACAGCUCGUCGUUCCCGCCUCUAAAAUGAAGCACCGUUGUAACGUUUGUCUAAUUGCCCUGGAAUACGCUAGAACUGCAUCUGAAAGGAAGUGGACAAAAGUUCACAGUGGGUCAUUUUGGCUUGCUAAGAUGAAAACUGCUUCCAUUUUUAAUGAGGAUUGACCCAAAAGGUCCCUUUUACUCACAACUUUGGAGGCUGGCAGUGCAUGUCCUCUCUCACGCAGAAGUCCCUUGAGCUGUUGGAGGCCCCAACACCAUGUGACCCUCUCCCCCAUGUUGGGCCAUGGGGCCCCCCGCACAUCAUACACAACGUGAGUUAAAUGAGCUCAGUGCCCAAAUAGGGGCCUUUCAUCCUGGCCUCGCAGUCCCCAUACUUGUUUGGAGGUCAAUGUGUCAAUUCGUGUAAUGGAGGUCCUCCAUGAUCCAGUGUGAGAAAAGUGUGUUCAAUUCCGUGUGUGAAAAACAAAUACUGACACUUGUUUUGCAACAGUGAUAUGAUGAAUAACACAUUGAAUGAUGUGUCAGACGUGACUACGAGUUAUAAAUCGUAUAAUUACUCAUAAAUUUGGAUCUUCUCUGAUCUUCCAUAUGAGUGCAAUAUCUUUCCUCUUGAGUAAGAGAUGACAAUUAUUCAUUUAAAAGAGAAGGUGGGUGGAAAUGUAUUCAUUGAAAAUAACGUGACAUUCAGACAUUAUUAGCAUUGGUUCCAAAAGCAAACAUCACUUUUUUUGCUCAUAAUUGGAGAUAUAUGUUUGAACCUCAAAUACUCAACUUUAGCAUGUAACUGUAACAUGUAAUAGGCCUUUAUAUUCAACUUCAAUGUGGAAAUUGACAAACGGGACCUUUCAUGCUGACAUUUUCUGCUAAACCAUUAAGACCUUUAGCCUUAAUCUAACCCAUACUACAAUGUCAAACUUAAAACUAACUUUUAAUCCUCACUUUGGCAAUGUUCAAAAGGAAAGUGUUCAUGCAGAAAAUUGGGUCAGACUGACCGCUAACCCCAUUCCCAGCACACACACACUCUCUCUGGAUUGAGGGAUGGACUACAAGUGUACAGAAGGGAAGGGGGAGUUUGUUUAUGGAGGGAAAGACAUGAAAUGCAAAUGUUCACCACAACAGCGCCAAAAGACAUCAGCACACAAACUCUGAUUCACCAGUUGAGACUUGUUUACAUCAAUUUCUACUUCUGCUCAUCUAACAAGUAAUAAGAUUCCCAAUUUCACAUUAGCGUUAUAUUGUUCUCUAUUAUGUUGAUUUACUUAGGCACAGUAUCCGUCCAUCCAUCCAUCCAUCCAUCAAGCCA